UUCACUUUAAAUAUGCAUCAUGCAAUACGAAUUGUCUUGAUCACAUGAAGAGGUGCUGUUGAGAGCUGUUGAAUCGGUGAAGGUAACCCAAAGUGGAUUUGUGAUCAUUUGCGACGCAGACAAGAUGGCCGGUGGUGGCUGGUCUACUCCAGGAGUCUGAGGUGCGGGAGGUUCCUCCGCCCCCUCUGGGCAUCGAGUGGGCCCCGGCGUAAGCUGUUCGAGCCAUACAGGACUCGAGGCGUCGGGCGAGGAGCCUUCAGUACGGUCCGGGGGAGAGAUGCUGGGUGCCGGUGGAGGACGUUUUGGACCCUUCGUUGCUGCGGAAGUUCCCC
ensembl:lncRNA